rnacentral:rRNA from 1 species
CCUACGGGAGGCAGCAGUAGGGAAUAUUGGGCAAUGGAGGCAACUCUGACCCAGCCAUGCCGCGUGAAGGAUGAAGGCGCUCAGCGUCGUAAACUUCUUUUAUCUGGGAAGAACGGUGGUUGUGCGCAGCCAUGUGACGGUACCAGAGGAAUAAGCACCGGCUAACUCCGUGCCAGCAGCCGCGGUAAU